AGAGUUUGAUCAUGGCUCAGAACGAACGCUGGCGGCAUGCCUAACACAUGCAAGUCGAACGAGACCUUCGGGUCUAGUGGCGCACGGGUGCGUAACGCGUGGGAAUCUGCCCUUCGGUUCGGAACAACAGUUAGAGAUGACUGCUAAUACCGGAUAAUGACGUAAGUCCAAAGAUUUAUCGCCGAAGGAUGAGCCCGCGUAAGAUUAGGUAGUUGGUGGGGUAAUGGCCUACCAAGCCGACGAUCUUUAGCUGGUCUGAGAGGAUGAUCAGCCACACUGGGACUGAGACACGGCCCAGACUCCUACGGGAGGCAGCAGUGGGGAAUAUUGGACAAUGGGCGAAAGCCUGAUCCAGCAAUGCCGCGUGAGUGAUGAAGGCCUUAGGGUUGUAAAGCUCUUUUACCAGGGAUGAUAAUGACAGUACCUGGAGAAUAAGCUCCGGCUAACUCCGUG
rnacentral:rRNA from 1 species